AGUCGAACGCGAAAGUUUCCUUCGGGAGAUGAGUAGAGUGGCGCACGGGUGAGUAACACGUAGGUAAUCUACCUUCGGGUGGGGAAUAACCCAGGGAAACUUGGGCUAAUACCGCAUAAUGCAGCGGCACCACAUGGUGACAGUUGUUAAAGCGGGGGAUCUUCGGAUCUCGCGCCUGAAGAGGAGCCUGCGGCAGAUUAGCUAGUUGGUAAGGUAAUGGCUUACCAAGGCGACGAUCUGUAGCCGGCCUGAGAGGGCGGUCGGCCACACUGACACUGACAUACGGGUCAGACUCCUACGGGAGGCAGCAGUCGGGAAUUUUGGGCAAUGGGCGAAAGCCUGACCCAGCAACGCCGCGUGAAGGAUGAAAUCCCUCGGGAUGUAAACUUCGCAAGAAUAGGAAGAAUUAGUGGGGGUUAAUACCCUCUAUGAUGACGGUACUAUUUGUAAGCUCCGGCUAACUCCGUGCCAGCAGCCGCGGUAAUACGGGGGGAGCAAGCGUUGUUCGGAUUUACUGGGCGUAAAGGGCGCGUAGGCGGUCAGCACAAGUCAGUUGUGAAAUCUCCGGGCUUAACUCGGAAAGGUCAACUGAUACUGUGCGACUAGAGUGCGGAAGGGGCAACUGGAAUUCUCGGUGUAGCGGUGAAAUGCGUAGAUAUCGAGAGGAACACCUGCGGCGAAGGCGGGUUGCUGGGCCGACACUGACGCUGAUGCGCGAAAGCCAGGGGAGCGAACGGGAUUAGAUACCCCGGUAGUCCUGGCCUUAAACGAUGGAUGCUUGGUGUCUGGAGUUUUAUAGUCUCCGGGUGCCGUA
rnacentral:rRNA from 1 species